UACUUUGUCUCCAUAUUUGCUCCCGUGAG
rnacentral:piRNA from 1 species